GCGUACUCGAUUCUGGACUUGGCUGGGCGGUCUUUGCGAAUGCUUAGACUACUCUGGCUGAGUCUUUCCUUCUGGCGAACAAUUGUGCUAUUUAUUUAGUGCGAUUGGGAACCAGGACUUUUACUUUGAAAAAAUUAGAGUGUUUCAAACAGGCGUUCGCCGUGAAUACAUUAGCAUGGAAUAAUAAGAUAGGACUUCGGUUCUAUUUUGUUGGUUUCUAGAACUGAAGUAAUGAUUAAUAGGGACAGUCGGGGGCAUUCGUACUUAACUGUCAGAGGUGAAAUUCUUGGAUUUGUUAAAGACGAACUACUGCGAAAGCCUUUGCCAAGGAUGUUUUCAUUGAUCAAGAACGAAAGUUAGGGGAUCGAAGACGAUUAGAUUCCGUCGUAGUCUUAACCAUAAACUAUGCCGACUAGGGAUUGGAGGUCGUUAUUUUGACACCUUCAGCACCUCGAGAGAAAUCAAAGUCUUUGGGUUCCGGGGGGAGUAUGGUCGCAAGGUUGAAACUUAAAGGAAUUGACGGAAGGCCACCACCAGCAGCGGAGCCUGCGCCUUAAUUUCGACUCAACACGGGAAACCUCACCCAGGUCCAGACAUGGGGAAGGAUU
rnacentral:rRNA from 1 species